UAAGUACUCACUCCAUCCGAAAAAGCUUGUCCUAAGCUUGUCUUUCAAAUGGAUGUAUCUAGCACUAAUUUGGUGCUAGAUACAUCCAUUUGAGGGACAAGUUUUUUCGGACGGAGGGAGUAGUAC
rfam:Triticum aestivum genome assembly, contig: Triticum_aestivum_CS42_TGACv1_scaffold_020885_1AS